GUGUGUGUGUGUGUGUGUUUGUGUGCAUACGCGCAUGUGUGCAUGUCCCAGCACCCAUUCUGAGGGGAGGAGGGAGCUUUAACUGGCCGUUGGAUGUCACAGAAGCAGGAGUGUGUGAGAGAGCGCAGACAGAACAGCCGGGGGUCCUGACGGAAGAGGGAAAGACUGUGCGGAACGACAAGACAAGGGGCUGGCACGUGGACCUUUCAGCCAGCGCUUGCAAGGCAUUGGACAAUAGGAGCAGGCUGCACUACAACUCUCUGCCUGGAGCCCAGAAGCUGGUGUUGCCUGAGUCUUGACUUUGCGUUUUCUGAACGUUACGGCGGAGAGCCACUGUGCUGGGGGUCUCGUGGGCAUUGCCAGUGUGCUGGAGGUGCUGGGUGUUACCUGUGCAGUGCGUCUAAGGUUUGGGUGAGGGAGGGAGCAGCAGGGGAACAUGGCUGUACAGCUGAUGCCUGAAUCCGCCAUCUGCCUCCUUAUGCACUUUGACCACGUGUACCUCUGCAGUAGGACAGCAGAACUAAUGCAGCA